rnacentral:rRNA from 1 species
GGAUGAGCCCGCGGCCUAUCAGCUUGUUGGUGAGGUAACGGCUCACCAAGGCGACGACGGGUAGCCGGCCUGAGAGGGCGACCGGCCACACUGGGACUGAGACACGGCCCAGACUCCUACGGGAGGCAGCAGUGGGGAAUAUUGCACAAUGGGCGAAAGCCUGAUGCAGCGACGCCGCGUGAAGGAUGACGGCCUUCGGGUUGUAAACCUCUUUCAGCAGGGAAGAAGCGAAAGUGACGGUACCUGCAGAAGAAGCGCCGGCUAACUACGUGCCAGCAGCCGCGGUAAUACGUAGGGCGCAAGCGUUGUCCGGAAUUAUUGGGCGUAAAGAGCUCGUAGGCGGCUUGUCACGUCGGUUGUGAAAGCCCGGGGCUUAACCCCGGGUCUGCAGUCGAUACGGGCAGGCUAGAGUUCGGUAGGGGAGAUCGGAAUUCCUGGUGUAGCGGUGAAAUGCGCAGAUAUCAGGAGGAACACCGGUGGCGAAGGCGGAUCUCUGGGCCGAUACUGACGCUGAGGAGCGAAAGCGUGGGGAGCGAACAGGAUUAGAUACCCUGGUAGUCCACGCCGUAAACGGUGGGCACUAGGUGUGGGCAACAUUCCACGUUGUCCGUGCCGCAGCUAACGCAUUAAGUGCCCCGC